UGGGGAAUAUUGCACAAUGGGCGAAAGCCUGAUGCAGCAACGCCGCGUGAGGGGACGACGGCCUUCGGUUGUAAACCUCUUUUAGCAAGGAAGAAGCGAAAGUGACGGUACUUGCAGAAAAAGCGACCGGCUAACUACGUGCCAGCAGCCGCGGUAAUACGUAGGGCGCAAGCGUUAUCCGGAAUUAUUGGGCGUAAAGAGCUCGUAGGCGGUUUGUCGCGUCUGCUGUGAAAACCCCGAGGCUCAACCUCGGGCCUGCAGUGGGUACGGGCAGACUAGAGUGCGGUAGGGGAGAUUGGAACUCCUGGUGUAGCGGUGGAAUGCGCAGAUAUCAGGAAGAACACCGAUGGCGAAGGCAGAUCUCUGGGCCGUAACUGACGCUGAGGAGCGAAAGGGU
rnacentral:rRNA from 1 species